rnacentral:sRNA from 1 species
GCAUUACAUGGAUUUAAGGUAAACAUGUGGUGAAUCCACCUGUGCGGAUGGGCGUAAACAGUAUCCAUCAUGUUGAAAUUGUUGCUAAAAGACGCGAGUCAUGGUGACUGACCAAAGGCUCACCGGGAGGCACCCGGCACCACAACAAAUAUUGCAGAACCCUAACAUAGAGUGUGUUGUUACGAC